GAUGAAGAACGCAGCGAAAUGCGAUAAGUAAUGUGAAUUGCAGAAUUCAGUGAAUCAUCGAAUCUUUGAACGCACAUUGCGCCCGCCAGUAUUCUGGCGGGCAUGCCUGUUCGAGCGUCAUUACAACCCUCAGGCCCCCGGGCCUGGCGUUGGGGAUCGGCGGAAGCCCCCUGCGGGCACAACGCCGUCCCCCAAAUACAGUGGCGGUCCCGCCGCAGCUUCCAUUGCGUAGUAGCUAACACCUCGCAACUGGAGAGCGGCGCGGCCACGCCGUAAAACACCCAACUUCUGAAUGUUGACCUCGAAGCAGGUAGGAAUACCCGCUGAACUUAAGCAUAUCAUAAGCGGAGGA
rnacentral:misc_RNA from 1 species